rnacentral:rRNA from 1 species
UACGGGGGGAGCAAGCGUUGUUCGGAUUUACUGGGCGUAAAGGGCGCGUAGGCGGUCGUGACAAGUCACUUGUGAAAUCUCCGGGCUUAACUCGGAACGGUCAAGUGAUACUGUCGGACUAGAGUACAGAAGGGGCAACUGGAAUUCUCGGUGUAGCGGUGAAAUGCGUAGAUAUCGUUUGGAACGCCAAUGGUGAAAACAGACAGCUGGGAGUGUGCUGACGCUGAGACACGAAAGCCAGGGGAGCGAACGGG